AUUGAACGCUGGCGGCAUGCUUUACACAUGCAAGUCGAACGGUAACAGGUUAAGCUGACGAGUGGCGAACGGGUGAGUAAUGCAUCGGAACGUGCCCGAUCGUGGGGGAUAACGCAGCGAAAGCUGCGCUAAUACCGCAUACGAUCUGAGGAUGAAAGCGGGGGACCGUAAGGCCUCGCGCGAUCGGAGCGGCCGAUGUCAGAUUAGGUAGUUGGUGGGGUAAAGGCCCACCAAGCCGACGAUCUGUAGCUGGUCUGAGAGGACGACCAGCCACACUGGGGCUGAGACACGGCCCAGGCUCCUACGGGCGGCAGCAGUGGGGAAUUUUGGACAAGUGGCGAUAGCCUGAUCCAGCAAGGCCGCGUGCAGGAAGAGGGCCCUCGGGUUGUAAACUGCUUUUGUACGGAGCGAAAAGGUCCUUGCCAAUACAAGGGGCUCAUGACGGUACCGUAAGAAUAAGCACCGGCUAACUACGUACCAGCAGCCGCCGUAAUAC
rnacentral:rRNA from 1 species